rnacentral:rRNA from 1 species
GUGGGGAAUAUUGGACAAUGGGCGAAAGCCUGAUCCAGCCAUGCCGCGUGUGUGAAGAAGGUCUUCGGAUUGUAAAGCACUUUAAGUUGGGAGGAAGGGCAGUAAGUUAAUACCUUGCUGUUUUGACGUUACCGACAGAAUAAGCACCGGCUAACUUCGUGCCAGCAGCCGCGGUAAUACGAAGGGUGCAAGCGUUAAUCGGAAUUACUGGGCGUAAAGCGCGCGUAGGUGGUUUUGUAAGUUGGAGGUGAAAUCCCCGGGCUCAACCUGGGAACUGCAUCCAAAACUGCAUGACUAGAGUACGGUAGGGGGUAGUGGAAUUUCCUGUGUAGCGGUGAAAGGCGUAGAUAUAGGAAGGAACACCAGUGGCGAAGGCGACUACCUGGACUGAUACUGACACUGAGGUGCGAAAGCGUGGGGAGCAAACAGGAUUAGAUACCCGAGUAGUCC